UACGUAGGUGGCUAGCGUUAUCCGGAUUUACUGGGCGUAAAGAGGGUGCAGGCGGCUUGGCAAGUCGGAUGUAAAAUCUCUCGGCUUAACUGAGAGGGCGCGUUCGAUACUGCUGGGCUGGAGAGCAACAGAGGAAGGUAGAAUUCCCGGUGUAGUGGUGAAAUGCGUAGAUAUCGGGAGGAAUACCCGUGGCGUAGGCGGCCUUCUAGGUUGUUUCUGACGCUGAGGCCCUAAAGCGUGGGGAG
rnacentral:rRNA from 1 species